AUGGGACUAGGCAUUGUUUUCAAUCUAGCAAUGUUCAUUCAAUAUUCCUGCAGUCAGACACUGAUCGAGUCUGAUCCAGUGAUCAUCAAACCUGAUCAGUCUCAUAAACUGACCUGCACAGCCUCUGGAUUAGACUUUAGUAGCUACUGGAUGGCUUGGAUCAGACAGGCGCCUGGAAAAGGACUGAAAUUUGUUGCAGUUAUCGAGUAUGAUAGUGUUAGAAAGUUUUACUCCAGUGCAGUUCAGGGCCGCUUCACCAUCUCCAGAGACAACAGUAAGAAGCAGGUGUAUCUGCAGAUGAACAGCAUGAGGACAGAAGACACUGCAGUUUAUUACUGCGCCUGAAGAACACACAGGGAUACAGCCGUUUAGACAUCAGUACAAAAACACAUACUUGCUCUAGUCACAUGAGAAGCUCCCAGUUUCUGGACAUUUAUCCUGAUGUAAUAUUUUUUUAUUCUUUGAACAUAUGUAAUAUAUACUGCAUAAAUUCACAAUGUCACAGACAGAGAACUAUGAAAGCUGUUGUUCACAAAGCUAGGAAAUUGAGCUCAGUACCAUAAUCAUUGUGAUUAAUGUUGAUUUCUCAAUUAACUUAUUGGUUAAACCACUAGAUUUACUUUACCACUGAUACUGUAUCUGAGCGCUUUCUUUCUUUUAACCCAUCUUUAAUCAUUUUAAUUGUUGCUCCAUGUGAGACUUUUUUUUAAAGCAAGAAAAUGAUAAUCUUUUUCUCCUGAAUGACUCUUUCUAGAUCUGGAUCAUUUAGAAACAGGUCUUUUGCGCCUCUAGAGGGCAGUCUGUACAAACUCAACCAUCUCAAUAUGUUUCCAUCUGUACAUUUAGGCAAUCUCUCUUUUCACAUUCUGUUAUGACUCCAGCAUCAUGACACUCAGAUUAA